UAAAGACCGUGAAGGCGGGCCUCUUCGUGCCACGCGUCGAGUCAUGAUAGGCGCUCGGAUCGGUUACGCGUAAAACGCAUUCAACUCUCUCUCUCGAAAGCUCUCUCUCUCUCUCUCUCGACAAUUCGCCGUCUCCUUCGGUGGAUCAUGACGGCGGCGACGUCUCCGUCGGUGUAUCUUAUCGACGACGGCUCUGUUUCUCUCUCGCUCUCUCUCGGAAUCCUAUGAAUCACAAUGUUCUUGAUUUGUGCUCUGUGUCUGAAGCUUGUGUGUCACAGGUCAUUGUAAGCGUGAAGGAGUGGAGUGAAAGAGUUGAAGUCUUGUGUCACAGGUCAGUGCAAGCGUGACUCUCCUCUCCAAAUGUCGAGCUUCUAUCGUUCUUCAUCAUUGAGCUUUGCUUAGUUGAGUAUGAGAUGCUUCACUACAUUCCUUCUCAGUUAGCUGCUUCAGCGAUCUACACAGCUCAGUUCACACUUGAAGGAUUUGAGGAGUGGAGCAAGACUUGCAAGUUCUACACAGGCUACACAGAAGAAAAGCUUAUGUAAGACGUCCCAGUAAUUAUACAUCAUCCGAGCUCAAGACUCAUCUCCAAUGCCAUCUCGCCGAGGAUGGACAUUUGCCCAUGUAAGUCAAAUUAGAUAGAACCAAAGUGAUAGAAUAGUCAAGUAACAAUGUGUUAGUUAAUGGAUGGGUUGUUGAUGUAAUUUGCUUGAAUCAUAAGUUUAAUAAAAUAAUGUUUAAUUUUUUUAAGAACC